rnacentral:lncRNA from 1 species
AUGUGCUAUGUCCCAAGCUUCCUUCUAGCUCUGAUAUUCUAUGCUACAUGGUCCUUCUCAGUUUUAACAUUACUCCAACAACUCUCUGCCACUCAUUUUAAAAGUAAGAGCAUUCCCCAAGAAUUUGUCAUGCUCAACUAUGCAUGUUGGUUAGAAGGGAUUUGUUUUUCCCUAUUGGAGCAAUGGGGGGGGGGGGGGUGGAUAAGAAAAGAGGGGAAAACAGAAAAGACAGAAAAGAAGAUCCUUGAGAUUUUUUUAAUGCAUAGAAGAAAAAGAAGGAAAGCCAGAAAGAAGCACAAAGGAGCAAGGCAACUUUGGAAGCUACAAAGGAAGCACCCGGACUCACAGAGUAGAAAUGACUGCCUCAAGGUCACCCAAGGAAUCACUGUAGAGCCAGGACUCCUAUUUUGCUCUGCUGACUUCAAGAGAGUUCCAGACCCCUUGGCAGAAGGUGAGACCGGUUUCAGGAUAUCUCCAGGAGGGAUGGGCUGAAUGGAGCUGUGUUCCCACUCCCUUGUCUCCUGGUAACUUCUUGGUAAUCAUGUUUGCAUUUUGCCUAGCUGGAGUGGGGUCAGGACUUUGACUCUGGCUAAGGUCAAGGCUCAGUCUAGAGCCAGAAAACAAGUCCUCCCCCAAUAAUCCAUAACUAAAUUAAUCAGAAUAAUAUUGCACUUGUAACCUUGAUCUUGUCAGCAUCGCUACCAGCCCUGGAGGUUAAUUAGAAGCCCAGCGUGAAGGUGACUCUACACUGGCCCCAUGUCCUGAGAUGACUUCUCUCAGAAGUAGGUCCCUGCCAUCUUGCCCGUGGGAGCUUUUAUCUUAAAUGAUCUGGGCACAUCCAAAGCCCCAAGCCAAUGGAAUCAUUUAUUGUUGUUGUCCUUCCAUCAUUCAGUUGUGUCUGACUCUUUGUGACUCUGGACAGCGUUGUGCCAAUACGGUCCGUGGAGUUUUCUUGGCAACAAUAUUAAUUCGAGUGAUUUGCCAUUUCCUCCUUUGUCCUUAAAUUGAAUGUAUGAACUGAUAAAAUAAGCACUUCUAUGUUGAGAUCACAGAGCAUGCUUGGGAGCACAGUUGUGCCUUCUCCACCCAUACCUCCCCAUAUGGAUGUUGUGUCACAACCACCAGAAAAUAAAACACUUAUGGAGGCAGGAGCA